rnacentral:rRNA from 1 species
GACGAACGCUGGCGGCGUGCCUAAUACAUGCAAGUCGAACGCAUUUUCUUUCACCGUAGCUUGCUACACCGAAAGAAAAUGAGUGGCGAACGGGUGAGUAACACGUGGGUAACCUGCCCAUCAGCGGGGGAUAACACUUGGAAACAGGUGCUAAUACCGCAUAAUUCCAUUUACCGCAUGGUAAAUGGAUGAAAGGCGCUUUUGCGUCACUGAUGGAUGGACCCGCGGUGCAUUAGCUAGUUGGUGGGGUAACGGCCUACCAAGGCUGCGAUGCAUAGCCGACCUGAGAGGGUGAUCGGCCACACUGGGACUGAGACACGGCCCAGACUCCUACGGGAGGCAGCAGUAGGGAAUCUUCGGCAAUGGACGCAAGUCUGACCGAGCAACGCCGCGUGAGUGAAGAAGGUUUUCGGAUCGUAAAACUCUGUUGUUAGAGAAGAACGAGGAUGAGAGUGGAAAGUUCAUCCCUUGACGGUAUCUAACCAGAAAGCCACGGCUAACUACGUG